rnacentral:rRNA from 1 species
CGCGUAGGCGGCUUUUUAAGUCAGAUGUGAAAUUCCGGGGCUCAACCCCGGAGCUGCAUUUGAAACUGAAGAGCUAGUGGCUAGUAAGGGAAAACAGAAUUCCACGUGUAGCGGUGAAAUGCGUAGAUAUGUGGAAGAAUACCGGUGGUGAAGACGGUUUUCUGUGCUAAGCCAGACGCUGAGGCGCGAAAGCUAGGGGAAGCAAACA